GCAACUUCUUCCCUCUCCCGGCGACUUUUCUUUCUCAUCUUCACGGCUUCGGUUAUCUACACAACUUAUUAGUAGGGCAAACGGUGGUCGGAACCUAUGCCAUGUCAACACAACCCCUUUUUGCAAUCUUCCCUCAAACCUAUCCUCACGAUACGUGUUCUUAGGGUAGAUAACAAACCAACCACAGCAGGGGAAAGAUGGGCGCAUCACUUCACAGGUCUUCAAAAAGACAGGCAAUACAAUUAAAACCUCCAUACCUUAUGGAAGGUUGAGUGAAAUCCUUUAAUGAGUACAUAGAAGAAGGAAUUAAGCAGAUAACCUUGAAGAACUAUACAAGAAAAUUUAUGUUGUUGUCUGUGCUGAUCCCAUGGUGAAGAAAUCUGAUAAGGAACCACCCAAGGGCACU